GGCUGGGGAGGGAAGCUGUCACUAAUCGUGGUAGUACUAACAGUACACUGAUGAUACUGCCAGUGUUUAAAGGGUGGCUACAAAGAAGAUGGAGACUCCCUUUAGAAGGAGUCACAUGGAAAAGAGGAGGGGUAAUGGGCACAAGUUACUCCUGGGAUGAUUCUAAUUGGACUUGAGGAAAUUUGCGCUAUGAGAACAAUCAACCCUUGGAAUUACCUCCCCAGGGAAGUGGUGGAUUCCCCAGUGUUGGACACUUAGAAGGCCCAGCUGGACAGGGCGCUGGGACAUCUAGCCAUACUUUGCCAAGAAGGGUUGGAGCACAUGGUCCUUGAGGUAUCUACAGAGGUCAGCAUACUGGGCUGAGGGCAUCAUAAAGCCUCUGUGCAGCCAGUUCCACCAUUUCACGGAGGGAUUCAUCAUCUUCACUUCCUGGCUCACAGUCAACUGUCUGGGAACAAAAAAUAGACGUUAAGUUAGAACAACCAGCACUUCAUAUUCCUUUUCAGCAUGUGAACAAUGCAGUGCUCAUCAGGGGAAACGAAAAAAAUAGUCAUGCAAAUGGAAAAGAGUUAUCAAGAGCAGCACUUUAUGUUCUUAAAUGGUCUGCCAACAUGCAGAAGAGUACAGAGAAGACUUAUGGAAGCCCUGCUAAGGAACAAGAAACUUAAUCUCAAGUGUUAUGUUUGAUUAAUGACAUGUUUCAAAACUACUCUGUAAAAUGCAGUAAGUUCUGUACAUUACAUUUAAUUCAAAAUCAAAUAAAACCACAGGAGAUUCAGUCCUUGGAGUUUCCAUUUUA